UACGUAGGGGGCAAGCGUUGUCCGGAUUUAUUGGGCGUAAAGAGCGUGUAGGCGGCCAGAUAGGUCCGUUGUGAAAACUCGAGGCUCAACCUCGAGACGCCGAUGGAAACCAUUUGGCUAGAGUCCGGAAGAGGAGAGUGGAAUUCCUGGUGUAGCGGUGAAAUGCGCAGAUAUCAGGAAGAACACCAAUGGCGAAAGCAGCUCUCUGGGACGGUACUGACGCUGAGACGCGAAAGCGUGGGGAGCGAACAGG
rnacentral:rRNA from 1 species